rnacentral:rRNA from 2 species
UUUAAAAAAAAGUGCCUUAAAAAACUAC